CAGUCGCCACGGUAAUACGUAGGGUGCGAGCGUUAUCCGGAAUUAUUGGGCGUAAAGAGCUCGUAGGCGGUUUGUCGCGUCUGCCGUGAAAGUCCGGGGCUUAACUCCGGAUCUGCGGUGGGUACGGGCAGACUAGAGUGCAGUAGGGGAGACUGGAAUUCCUGGUGUAGCGGUGGAAUGCGCAGAUAUCAGGAGGAACACCGAUGGCGAAGGCAGGUCUCUGGGCUGUAACUGACGCUGAGGAGCGAAAGCAUGGGGAGCGAACAGGAUUAGAUACCCGUGUAGUCCCUGUCUCUUAUAC
rnacentral:rRNA from 1 species